GUUCACUCUCCUUGCUCCUUCUCUGCUCUUAUCAGAUGGGAAAGAAGGCUUGAGGUCACCGUUCCCUUUCUACACGAGACUCGGGUUUGAUGCGUGCUAAGGUAUUUUAGAAAUCACCUUUGUGUGCUAGCCGGAUCUGACUGGGAAGCUACGCAGGGUCCUGUUCUCAGGAAAUGUGAUAAACUGGCGACUGGGAAGAUCUUCCCUGGCAGAACUGGAAUCCCAUCACUCCGUCUGGUUCUCAGAUACUAAAACGAUGAACGAAAAUGAAAGAAAAUGGGUAUAUAACAAGGAAGUUAAGACUCCAAAGUAGAAGAAAGGAAAGCCUUCCGCUUUGCUCUGCUGUGGUCUUUCCAGGUCCAUUUUUCUGCUCCAGCUUAAUGAUGCAUUUUAAGGAGAGCCAUGUACUCCCUGUCUUUAUACUCAGACUGCAGCAAGUAUCGGCCCAGCCACCCUUUCAGAUCCACUUCAAGGAAACACAGGCUAGAAACUGCUCCCCGUGGUUUUGUCUGAACUGGCUGACGCCCCGCCGCACACACUGGGUCCACGGCUGGAGUCGGGAACCUAGAGAUGACCUCACUCCAUCUAGGCUUGUAAGACAAGAAAGGCCGCCCUUCUCCGGAAUUGCUUUGCAGUGUCCCAAGCCUGCUUCUUUGCAGAGAGGCUCAACACAAAAUAUCCUCAAGAAAAGAUGAAACUUGGUGUAGCUUCACAUAACUGUGAAAUUUUGAAUUCUGAAAGUGCCCUACUCCAAAGGGCCACAGGAACUUGGAAGAGAUAAACAGAGGGAAUUCUUCUUGUGUGUCUCUUCAGAUUCCUUGGACCCGGCUGACCAGCCUGUGUUUGUAUACAUUUAAGUCUCCGGGGUCCCUCUUUCCUGGAUCUUUCUUCACACCCUAGAUUUUUAGUCUAUCCCAGAGCUUAUCUGGGAGAAGACGUACUGCCUCCUGGACUGUGUCAGACAGUCACAGAGUACAGACUUCAAACCGACCUUCAUACCAUUUUGGUUGGAAAUAGAACCACUGGAGGCUCAUCAUGUUACAGUCAGCAAAAUGGAAACGAAUCAAGAGGUUUAGAAUGCCAGUGGUCAAGCCAUUCGUUAGUAAAGUUUUGUAAAGGAAGUCUCCUGUAUGGUGUAAGUUGUCUGCUGGAAAACCAAUAUUGCUCUCUGGAGGCUGCACGGUGAGUUACCUGUUUUCUCUACAGGCAUCUACUCCCUAUGUGCUCAAGGCUAUCACUCUGCAUGAGAUACCAGUGAGGAGAAGACAGAAAUGCAGAUAAAAUUUGGGAGUUUGGACUCAAAGAUCCAAUACUGGACAGAGAGCAACAAACAUCUGGCAAAGCAUCUUGAAAAUCUGGAUGAACAAUUUCUAAAAGUAUUCAUCUGUUGUAUCCUAUAGCUUAAAUCACUAUACAUUUUUCCUAAAAAUUUGUAUCUUACUUGAGAAUAUGUCAUAACUUUUCCAGUGUUAAGAUAUUAGAGACACUGGACAUUGUAUGCUGUGUCUGUGACCUGUUUCAAUAUGGAUGAGCCAACAAUGGCUAUCUUUGUCUUGAGUAUUGUCCAUGUAAUUGAAAAUGUGCCAACUCCCUUUAAAACAUCAUCAACAGACUUCUUAAUUAAGCUGCCAAUACCAACGGUCAAUAACACUGUGUGCUGUUUGAGAAAUGAAUAAUGUUGCUUGAACCUUGUUAAAUAAACA